GGGCACAGCAGACGAAAGGUGCCCGAAAUGUCUACGUUCACCUAUGACGUCACGUCCGCUAUAACCCAUGAUGUCACAUCCGCUCAUUUCCAUGGCGGCCGUCUUACGGAGCCGGCUGCGCUGCGAAACGGUCCGUAUUCCGUGCCCACUUAGAGCCCGGCAUGUGGAAUGGGCCGUGGCAUCUUAUAUGGAGCUGCUCAUGUGAGUGGUAUUGCCUCCGUCAGGAUCGUCAGUGCGUGCACAGAACCAUUCAGUAGUCUGGUUCAGGGGAGGAUGCGCGAAAGAACGAGGACGUAAGAAAACACUGGCAUGACGAGCUGUUCCGUCAGAUCGCGUUACAUCGCGCUUUUUUUCUAAGACCAUCUCGCUCGAGCGAGAGGAUCUCAGAACAGCAUUACUACUGCUUUUUUACAGCUUUGCUGCGGCUCAUUUAAUCAUCACCUGCAUUCUUUUAAUAAUACAAAUGACAUCGCUGCGCGGAAGAGCGUCUCUUGAAGUUUCCAAACAAGAGCCAAUGCCGCCGUGCCUGCUGCAUACACGCUUGCCUUUCCUAACGCAGUUAAGACGCGGCACUAGCUCUGCUACUGCGUGAUACAGGGUCACUGUGAUAGGAAAAUUAAAAAGAACAAACUAAAUUAAGGCAGAAAAUGUCAAACGUUGCCAAGCGUGAUAAACGGACCUGCCUCGCUAAAUGAGUUGAAGAAAUCGGCGUCCUGAAGUCAGCUUCGCCACAGUAGACUAGUGUUAUGCGGUGAAGCAUGUCAGAACUGAAGAGUGACCGCUUUCACCGACAUAAAUAGCAUGUGUUCCUUAAUGAUGUACGCGUGCACCUGCCGUCUCCUGUUACAUUACGCGCGUCGAGGCACCUAAGUGUACUGGCCGGCCUUCAGCGCUAUUUCGGACGUGGCUGUGAUGCUUUGAACCGUUGGUUUGUCGACCUCGUAAGCCAGUUAAUGUUUACACGGCCAUUUUUUUCUGAGCUGUUGAUUUCUUCCAUAAUAGCUACGUAAUUUCGUAGUUUCCUGUUCAACUGCUUUGGUCAUAUGCGAGUCAAGGUUGUUCUCUUUAGCCGAGCGCAGUUUUCGAAAGCGAAACGACGCUUUUGCAUCAGCAUAUGGUGCCGUCGCCCAUUUGCAACACAGUCAAUCAAUGUAAUUUUGUAUGUCACUGGAAAACCGCCGAACGCAGGGAACUCACUCGCAUGCGGGGAACUGCAUAACUAGCCACGGGAUUACCGUGCCUCUUGGGAAGCUGCUUUGCAUCAAAGGCCAGGUACCCUUGCUAUGAUUCACCGCAACAUAUUUUGUAUGUCUAACCGCUUAACAUAUGUGUAUUGCGGUGAAGCUAACCUUACGGAACCGAAUUUCGCAAUGCUUUUUAGACUCCUGCAUCUCUACCAGCCACUACCAAACGCUUGUCGGUACGUCUCUUGGCAAAGGUCCAGGUAAAUCUCCCCUGUUGGGAGUUGGGGGGACUCACGUAUAUGAAAACUGCCAAGGAAAGCAGUUGCCCUGAUGAAGGCACGCUCCCCUGUGGAAACAUUUGCACCAGCCUGUUCGACCACCGUUAUCACCGCAACAUAUUUGUGUGUUGCGGUGAAGCAUGCCGAUAUUGGGAAAGAUUUACGUGAAUCUGGAAUGUAUGGUUUCUGUCAGCGACUAACCUAAUGUUCUACUCUCAUCAAAGCAGAUUUUCGUGGCAGGAUGCAUGAUGUCUUGAGAACUUUUGUUGGCUAAAGCCAUACAUGCCAGGUUAGCUCUUGUCACAAUAAUACGCUUUACCGCAAUACACAAGAGGCCCCGCUGCAGGACACGCCCGCUGUAGUUAGCCAAAACCUUAUGUGAUGGUUCACUGCAAAACACCUCCUGUAUUGCGGUGAAUCGUAAUAAAGCACAUUUGUCAGUUUAGAAUGUAAAGACCCUUGCCCUUCGCUUUUGUAAUAAUAUGACUCAUUUUAAUGAGAACAUGUAUUCACUGCUAAAAACAUCCACAUUGAAAUGGAGAUAUGAACACUGAUGGCAGCCUGUGUGAUGUUAUAUCCCUUUACUUUUUUGUGUACCUGUCACGCUGCCAUUAUUAAAUUUUCCUGUACUUUGUUAGGUGCUGACGUACAUAACAUUACAUCACGAAGAGCCACUGUGUAAUUAGUGUUCAAGGACCAGUGUGAUGGCUUUACUCAAGAAAGGUUUGGGUUAUGUUGUUGUGAAGGUGUUUUUUGAGAGGUAGCUGUCUGAGAAGAAAUCAGAUGUCAGGAAAUAGAUCUCAAUGGCACAGUAAUCUUGGCUGCUUUUUGCUCAAACGUGCCCUAGACAUAAUUGAGUGAUUUGCACUUGCAACUGGACAGCAGCCGUAGCUUGGGAGACCUGUGAUAUGGCAUAUUUUAUCAAACUAGGUGACACAUAGCAUUACCAGUCCGAAUAGAGACCUGUUUAAAUGCUUGUCACCUUUAACGCCUAGAUUUUCGACCAUGAAUUCAGAAAAAUCUGUACAUUUAGAUCCUAGAUUUUAAAUGUUGUAUAAGUUGGCUUCUUGUUCACUGCAGCUGUGCUUGGCUUCUGUCCAAACGGGAGAGCACUUCUGCACAGCUUAUUAGGGAAUAUUCUUAUUUACAUACCUUCUUUUUAUUUAUCUCGCCUACAAUCACAAUCAAAUGUCUAUGGCACAUGAAUGUGCUGUGCAUGAAUCUAACUUACAAUGCCAUGUUCAACAGCACAGUGCAUGUAGCUUGUGUUGGUUCAUUCAAGCUAAGCAUUGCUACAGCCUUUAACUGUAGGUAUCAUGGUAUGGGAGCAGAGAAAUGGAUAUGCAAAGACAGUUGGGCACAUUGAGACAACAUCUUUGUUGUGUGUGAAAAGGUGACAGAUACACAAUAUAGGGAGAACGCAUGCACUUUCAUAUUUUCUCGCGCACAAAAAGAGCUGGAGGAAUAAGGUUUCUUCACUGUGCCAUAGAAACUAUAUGUUUGCUCUCAAAGGUAAUUCUGAUUCAUUGGAUAUGUUCCUGUGCUGUGUUUAUUUUCUUGAGUGUGCUUUAGUUUUUGCACGUUAAUGUUUCAAACUCGUUCUUAUUUUCACAGACUGAACAUCCCACGUCUUGGUUUGACUUCCUGGUACAGUAUACUUGCACUUAGCAUGGAGUGAUGAAGCAGAGCAGUGUACUUUUAUUAAAUGUGCAGAUUUUAGCAGUAUAACAGCAGUUCAUUAAAAAAACAUGUGUGCUGAAAAUAAAGUGUUCUUACCCACA